GUGUGGUCGACGGUGAUCCGACGCCAAUUUGGUUGUGCCGCGGGUUGCUAUGAAGGUGGAAAGAAGAGGGUUAGAGAGAAAGAAGAGAAGACUUGGAUAGAGGGUGAAUUAAUUGGGGAUUUGAAAAACAAUUUUAGCUUCAACUCCACUUCCUCACAGUUCAACAACUUAAAUCGUGAAACUCAUGGGGUAUCGUCGCCGACUACGGCAGCCGUGUACUUCCGUCCGCCGGCCUGUGCAGUUCUGUCCGCCAGUCUGUGAACAUCAUCUAGCCCGUUCUAUUCGCGAGUCUUCACAACUCUUCUUGACAUCAAAGUGGUAGACAAGUUCAAUUAACACGAGGAAGUAUGCUUAGUCUUUGAUGGGGUAGCUAGCCAUCAUAGCUAUGCCACAAGUACCUUGCUUGUCGGUUGAAUCACGCAUCAUUCUUAUGUAACCUGAUUCACCCCAGCUAGUGCCCCAUGAAUUUUUGACAAGCCAAUAAGCUUGAUUGCUAUCUUCCCCGUACCCAACUAUUGCCACUCCAUGAUUCAGUUGCUUUCCACAAUUGCCUGAGAAGAUUCCACCCGAAUAGAACUGAAAAUCGUUCCCCCCUGCAUCAAUUGCUACAGAGACUGGCUGUUUAGCUACUGCUGCUUGUAAGCUUUUCUCGUCGUUGACAGGUACUUUUUCAUAUCCACUUAUUGACACAGACUGGUAUUUCUCUUUUUGUUUGUCGCAUGCAGAUCUAGUUGCUGUGUAUGGAUAUUCUAAUUCUGUAGUUAGUCCAGUUUUCUUGAUGAACUCAAAUGCUUUGUACAUGUAACCACCAUUGCAUCCCUGGUUCCCCGAGGUCACAUCGCAGUCUACAAGCUCUUGUUCUGAAAGAGACAUUAAUUUCCCUGCUUUUAUUUUGUUGAUGCCUUCGACUGCUGCUACUGCAGAGAAUGCCCAGCAGCUCCCUAUGUCGAAAAUUCAAGACUCGUAAGUUUUUCCAAAUAUGACGAAAUGACUUACAAUCAAUAGAGGUUACGGUGUAGGGUACUAGUUAGGAAAAAAAACUCAUAAUCAGACGUAAAGAGAACAUGUUCUACGUAUUUCUGAUUAGUUGGAUGAAUGAGAGUAUUACGAGUUCGUACCACAUUGGCCUUGAUUCUUUAUCGGAGUAACUGCACCUUCCUUUCUCCAAUCAACAUUAGUAGGCAGAUUAACCAUAUUUCCAUAUCUGAAGAAUGUAUCAGUAUCAGGAAGCGAAACAGUUUCAUACCCCAAGUAAGUUGCCAUAAACUCCUCAUUUGUGAGAUCUGUAAAGUUAUUUUCGGCCAGAGUAUAUGAAUGAUUCAGAGAAUUGAAAUUGUCAAUGUACUGAACAUUUGCCUGAUAAAUUGUGAAUCUCUGCUCCCAUUCUUCUCUGCUCUUGUAUUGUCUACCGUAUUUAUCCAUCCAUUUCUGGUACCUGUCUUGUAAUUCACCGGAAUUACUAGAUCCCGAAGGGUAGUCCAUUGCCAUGGAUACCCGUGUGGGUGUCCAGAAAACCCAGAGAAUCAGAGAAAUCAAACUCACACUCCAAAUCAUUUUAUAUGCUUCCAUGGCCGCUUUCAGAUUGCAAAUCGAGCCAAGUAUGUUUCAUUCUCAACAUCGAAUUCUAGUUAUAUAUUGAUCCAUUCUUAACUGUAGGAGGACGAAGUUUGGAUACUUAAGAAAUUCUUGGAUUCAUGUACUUCACACCUUGAAGUUUCUGUUGGGGGUUAAUCUGUUAUUUCCAUCUUUCCAGCACGGCAGAAAAAGGUGGAAGCUUGCCGGCUUAAAACUCUUGGAUUCUUCAUUACUAUCUGGGUAAUUAAGAAAGAAGUAAACUUGGAUAUAUUUCUUGUAAAUAAUAGAAAAAAUUGAAUAUAAAUGCAAUAUAGGUAGGCCAUGUGUGUUGUUAAUCCCAAAUGAUAAAUGUUAUGCAAGACCUUAAAACUCAUACAAUAAAUUUGACUCUAAAAAUUAAUAAAAUAACAUGAUGUUAAUAUAUUUUCUAAAUUUCUAAAUUGGAUGUUAACAGAAUUUAAAUAUUUAUUUUUUAAGAUGAAAACUCAUGACUAAAGCUUGUCAUUUUAAAAUAUAUGAAUCACAAUAGAAUUAAACUUAAAAAAAAAAAAAAGACAAGAUCAAAAUAAUAUUUUAACAAAAAAAAAAAACAAGUAAAUAAAUAAACUAAACUAAAGUGUAUGUUCCUUUACUCGACUUGGAAUAAGGUUGCUCAUGCUCGUGUAUAUAAGCUAAGCUUGACUUUUUAGUGAUAUAUUUAAUAGCGUUUCUUUACCUAAUGUGGGCUAAAAUCGCUUCUUAUCUUUUGGACAUUUGGUUUCCAGCUAGGGUAGCCUCGGUUUUAUUUGAGGAUUUCUCUCGUGUUUAGUCUGCUUGCCAUUGUAAAGAAAAAAACUAAAGCUAGGGAAUUAAGCUCAAAAUAAGUUUGUUCUUAUCAACAGUUCUCUCCAAAGGUUCAAUUAUUCCUCCCUUCACAUUCUUUUAUUAAAACAAAAACUAGGAAACUAAUCUUUAGUCUUUGGUUUGAAGGAAACUGUCCUCAAGAUGGUCCAAUUUUAAUUCCUUUUUCUUUUAGGAGGUGCACUCUUGAUCAUUGUUACAAUUAAAGGAAACAGAUAUGAACCAUGUUUUCCACUUAUUCUGCAUAAAAUAUUUGCAAAUAGAAAACAAACCACAUGACCUUUUCCUCUAAUAGAAAGAGUAGAAAAAAGUACUAAUUUUAGCAUUCAAUUUUCUAAAUUUAAAAAAUAAUCAUAGUCCUAUAAAACUCCACUUUUUUCUUCUCCUCAAACAAUCAUCCUCUCGCCAAAAAUAAAAUUUUAAAAAAGUUGUAAUAAAGAAAAAGAAACACUGCAAACUUAAAAAUAAAAUGGCGAACAAGAAGAUGAUGGCAGUGUUUCUCUUGUGUAUUCUGGUGGUGGCUGCAUUUGAAAUCUCCAUUGUUGCCGCGGGCGAGGAGGGUAACGUUAUCCCGAGGAAAAAGUCACUUUUUUCCAAAAUCUACGAUAAAUUGCACAUCGAUAUGCCCAAUAAUUGAUAAUUGAGGAUAAACGAAGAAAGAAGAGUUCUCAAGACUAAUGAUGGGGUUAAUGUAAAUGGUGGUGUAUAAUUUAUUUUGAAUCAUUUUUUUUUUUCCUUUAUGAGAGGAAUUUCUGGGCCUCUUUGUCCUCUUUCAUUUUUAUUUUAUAGCAAUCUCUUUGUUUCAUUAAUAGAAGUCAAAAAAAAAAAAAAAAAAGAAGUUGGGCUUUUGCCUUUUUGGUAAUGUUUGUAUUUCCGUUUUUUCUCCCACCAUUGUUCUUUGCUAAAUUUAUUUAAUUGAAGUGAAAAUAUUCAACUUUUGCAUA